rnacentral:misc_RNA from 1 species
UCGAGUUUUCUAACUCCCAAACCAUUGUGAACUUACUUACUGUUGCCUCGGCAGUUACCUCUCGGGGUGCUGCCGGUGGACUACUAAACUCUUGUUAAUUAUUGUCAUUCUGAAUAAUAAACUUAAUAAGUUA